rnacentral:misc_RNA from 1 species
GGAGCACCCUGCCGGAGUGAGCGGCUAGCAAAAUACAACCAGCUUCUACGUAUCGAAGAAGAACUUGGAGAUGUUCGUUAUGCUGGUGAAUCUUUCAGAUCUCCUUGAGAAAGCAGUCAAAAGUUAAAAGAAGGAUAGGGAGAAUCCAGAAAAGUUUUUCUUUUGUUGUAUACUCAAUCGGCAUUGUUGUUAGAUAUGUUGUAUUCGUGGAGGAUCAGGUAGGCAUUAGAAGCUACAUCUGGUCGACUUUUCGUGCAGUUCUUUUUUGAAUUUUGUUCAAGUCUUUCAUGCGUGUGAACUUUAGUAUCACAAACACAGUUCCCUGUCUGUAGUAGUUGUGCUCUCUUAAUCAAAA